GUACUAAUGCACGGAACUGCCUCGGGGAGCUGUAAGCAAGCUUUGAUCCGGGGGUGUCCGAAUGGGGAAACCCAGCUGGGGUAAUUUCCAGUUACUCAUAACUGAAUACAUAGGUUGUGUAGAGGCAUACCAGGGGAACUGAAACAUCUAAGUACCCUGAGGAAGAGAAAACAAUAGUGAUUCCGUCAGUAGCGGCGAGCGAACGCUGAGUACGUGGACGUAGACCCGAAACCGGGUGAUCUACCCCUGUCCAGGGUGAAGGUGCGGUAACACGCACUGGAGGCCCGAACCCACGCAUGUUGAAAAAUGCGGGGA
rnacentral:rRNA from 1 species